GACGAACGCUGGCGGCGUGCUUAACACAUGCAAGUCGAACGGAAAGGCCCUGCUUUUGUGGGGUGCUCGAGUGGCGAACGGGUGAGUAACACGUGAGUAACCUGCCCUUGACUUUGGGAUAACUUCAGGAAACUGGGGCUAAUACCGGAUAGGAGCUCCUGCUGCAUGGUGGGGGUUGGAAAGUUUCGGCGGUUGGGGAUGGACUCGCGGCUUAUCAGCUUGUUGGUGGGGUAGUGGCUUACCAAGGCGUUGACGGGUAGCCGGCCUGGGAGGGUGACCGGCCACAUUGGGACUGGGGUGCGGCCCAGGCUGCUACGGGAGGCAGGAGUGGGGAAUAUUGCACAAUGGGCGGAGGCCGGAUGCAGCAACGCCGCGUGCGGGAUGACGGCCUUCGGGUUGUAAACCGCUUUCGCCUGUGACGAAGCGUGAGUGACGGUAAUGGGGAAAGAAGCACCGGCAAACUACGU
rnacentral:rRNA from 1 species